AAUUUCUUGGAAGCAGAUUCAAGUUUAUGUCUUUCUUUACAUUGUACUUUACUUACUUUUCUGUUUAGUAGGCAACCAGAAACACUGCAAAGUGCGUGCUGAACAUCUUUCAAUAUCCCAAGGAAGAGACAUAACAACAUAUGAGAUCACUGGCAGGGGAUUCCCAGAACAGAUCCAAUGCAAGUCUGAAGCUGCACAAGGAGGCAGUUUGAAAUCUUAAAUGUGUGUUGAGUGAUUAAUCAUCAAGCAAUUAUGGAAAAUGGCAUCUUAGAAAACGCACGUAACUUGCUACAUUCAGUAAGACACACCUCCAAGCUGAAUAGGUCAGGAACAGACUACAGAAUCAACUGAACGUAAGCAGUCAAAGAACUUAAGUAAAACUAGAUUAAAUUUCUAAUUGGG